GCCUAGGCCCGCCCUCGCCAUGUUCUGCGGCUGCUGGGUAUGGUGGCCUGAAGAUCUGGCGUUCCCUGUUUCUUCAUUGAGCCCUCCCCUUGGCCCGCGCGCCUUCUGCUCGCCUCUUUCGCGCUGCUGCCCGGGAGGGGAUCGGGUUAAGGCUGCCAGGGGCUCAGCUCUGCUCACAUGGAUGGGACAGAGACCCGACAGCGGAAGCCAGAGGAGCUGGCUCUGCCACACGCCUUCAGCCCUGGAAGACUCUCUGGAGCCUCAGAAGAUGGACUUCCGAGUGUGUCUGAGAGCCACAGGGUGGUCUCUAAACCACUGGGGUCUGAGUUCAGCAGGGAGACUGCCUUGUCCAUUGGCCUUCAGGUGAUGGUGCCCUUCAUGUUUGCAGGACUGGGACUGUCUGGGGCUGGUAUGCUUUUGAACUAUUUCCAGCACUGGCCUGUGUUUAUGGAGGUUAAAGACCUAUUGACGUUGGUGCCACCCCUGGUGGGCCUGAAGGGGAACCUGGAAAUGACGCUGGCAUCACGACUCUCCACUGCUGCCAACACUGGACAAAUUGAUGACACCCAAGAGCAGCACAGAGUUAUCAGCAGUAACCUCGCCCUCAUUCAGGUGCAGGCCACCGUUGUGGGGUUCCUGGCUGCUGUGGCUGCCCUGCUGCUGGGUGCUAUGUCUAGGGAGGAGUUGGACUUUGUGAAGGUGGAGUUGCUGUGCGCCAGCAGUGUCAUCACCGCCUUUCUCGCUGCAUUUGCCUUAGGAAUGCUGAUGGUCUGCAUAGUAAUUGGUGCUCGAAAGCUUGGGGUCAAUCCAGACAACAUUGCCACGCCCAUUGCUGCCAGCCUGGGAGACCUCAUCACGUUGUCCAUCCUGGCCUUUGUUAGCAGCUUCUUCUAUAAACACAAAGAUAAUCGAUACCUGUUGCUGCUGGUCUGUAUCAGCUUCACGGCCCUGAUCCCCUUGUGGGUCCUCAUUGUCAAGCAGAACCCGCCCAUCAUGAGGAUCCUGAAGUUCGGGUGGUUCCCAAUCAUUCUAGCGAUGGUCAUCAGCAGUUUUGGAGGGCUCAUCUUGAACAAAACCAUUUCUAAACAGCAAUUCCAAGGCAUGGCCAUAUUUACUCCCAUCAUAUGUGGUGUUGGUGGCAAUCUGGUGGCAAUUCAGACCAGCCGGAUCUCCACCUACCUGCACAUGUGGAGCACACCUGGUGUCCUACCCCUCUGGAUGAAACAAUACUGGCCUAACCCAUGCUCCACUUUCUGCACCUCAGAUAUUGAACCAGCCCUGCAUCCUGGGUAUAUAUCCCACUUGGUCAUGGUGAACAAUUCUUUUAAUGUAUUGUUGUAUCUGGUUGGUCGGUUUCCUGUUGAGUAAUUUCACAUCGGUGUUCAUCAGAGAAAUUGGUCUGGAGUUCUCCUUUUUUCGUGGGGUCUUGGUCUGGUUUUGAAAUCAAGGUAAUACUGACUUCCUAGAAUGAGUUUGGAAGCUUUCCUUCCAUUUCUAAUUUUUGGAACAGCUUCAAAAGAAUAGGUGUUAACUCUUCUUUAAAUGUUUGGUAGAAUUCCCCUGGAAAGUUACCCAGCCCUGGACUUUUGGUUUUUUUGGGAGAUUUUUGAUUACUAAUUCUAUUUCUUUACUGGUUAUAGGAGAUUUCUUUUGUAAGAAGUGAUUUUCGAUUAAAUCCCAGGCAUUUGGGGUAUAGGUUAUUAAAUUCUGGAUCUUAUUUAAGUCUUUUUUAGGUACCUCCUCUGACAGUGCACCACUGAAGGAAAGGGAAUAAUACAUUGCUUGCUUACUGCCAGCAUCCAGUCUGGGAUAUAUGAAAUAAACCAGCACCACCCACCAAAACACCAAAACAACAACUCAGGUAACUUACCUCUGUGUUGUUUAUUGAAUCCUGAGGUCCCUGGCCAGCCACUUUUUCUCUCCACCUUUUAAAAUCUUAUGUUUAUUUUAUAUAUAAUGUCCAGCAUUUUUAGUUGUAUUUAGUGAGAGGAUUAGGAAGAGAUGUGUCUACCCCAUCUUGUCUUAACAUGGAAAUUCCCGUUAUUUUUUCUAGUACUGGGAACCACAUUUUAUCUUUUUUUUCUUUAAUUUUAAUUUUAGUUAACAUCAAUGCAAUGUUGGUUUCAGGAGUAGAAUUCAGUGAUUCAUCAUUUACAUACAGCACCCAGUACUCAUCACAACAAGUGCCUUCCUUAAUACCCAUCUCUCAUUUAGCCCAUACCCCCACUCCCCUUGCCUCCAGCAACCCUCAGUUUGUUCUCUAUCAUUAAGGGUCUCUUAUGCUUUGUCUCCCUGUCUUCUCUUUCCACACCCUCUUCCCAUAUGUUCAUCUGUAUUGUUUCUUACAUUCCACAUAUGAGUGAAAUUGUAUGGUAUUUGUCUUUCUCUGAUUGACUUAUUUUACUUAGCAUAAUACAUCCUAGCUCCAUCCACAUUAUUAUAAAUGGC